rnacentral:rRNA from 1 species
AUUGAACGCUGGCGGCGGGCCUAACACAUGCAAGUCGAACGAGUGGCGGACGGGUGCGGACAGUCUGGGAAACUGCCCGGUGGAGGGGGAUAACUACUGGAAACGGUAGCUAAUACCGCAUAAAAUGCGAUGUGCACAGAUGGGAUUUGCUAGUAGGUGGGGUAACGGCCCACCUUGGCGACGAUCCGUAGCUGAUAUGAGAGGUUGACCAGCCACACUGGAACUGAGACAGGGUCCAGACUCCUACGGGAGGCAGCAGUGGGGAAGAUUGCACAAUGGGCGCAAGCCUGAUGCAGCCAUGCCGCGUGUAUGAAGAAGGCCUUCGGGUUGUAAAGUACUUUCAGCGAGGAGGCGUUACUCGCAGAAGAAGCACCGGCUAACUCCGUGCCAGCAGCCGCGGUAAUUC